rfam:Clostridium sp. 7_2_43FAA genomic scaffold supercont2.3, whole genome shotgun sequence.
AUGACCUUUAAUUUAAUCCAGAGAGAUUAACAAGGAAGAGAUUGUAAUAGUAAAAGACUUUUAUUUAGGGCUUAUUAUACCUUCCUUGAAAUAAGGAAGGUUUUUUUCUG